UGAUAUUGUUCCCAGCAGCACAUGCCAAAAGGCCACACACCUUCCCACGGGAUGAAGGAUUCCAGGGACAUCUCUUUUUAUAGGUGUGACUUCCCCUCUUUGCAGAGUAGCUAUUUAGCAACUAGAGGGCAAAGCCAGGCAACUGAGACUUAGGAACAGAAUUAUAUCAGAGAAAUUGGCGACAACCUUUCUGGAGCGAAAUCUAACAGUGUCUAUUAAUAUUCUAUAUAGACAUACACCUUUUGACUUAGGAAUUCCGCUCUCUCAACACCAGCAUGAAAGGCAACAUAUAUGAGAUGUAGUGGAGAAAGAAACCAUACCCUGACAACAACCUGAAAGUCCAUCAAAAGAGAAUGAUUGAAAAAAUUAUGGUACCUCUAUACCGUGAAAAUUCUGUAAUUAUAUUUUAAAAUGAGAUCUAUAUCUACAGGAAGAUAUAGAUCUCAUCUCUCCUGCCUCAGGAGAGAUGUUCAGGAUGAAAAACGUAGUUAUCAACAAUGUAUUGUAUAUUUCUAAUGCAUAUUUCAAAGUAGCUAGAAGAGAAAGAAUUUCAGAUGUCCCCAACACAUAGAAAUGAUAAAUACUCAAGGUGAUGGAUACCCCAAAUUCCCUGACUUGAUCAUUAUACAUUCCACACAUGUAACAAAUAUCACACAUACCCCAUAAAUAGGUAAAAUAUUAUGUAUCAAUAAAUAAUAAUAAAUUGAAAUUUAAAAAGAAAAGCAAGAGGCAGGGGACAAGAAUGUAAUAAGAUCCCAUUUUCAUUAAACAACUGAAAAGCCAUAUACAAGGCUCACAAGGCCCUACCCAAUCUGCCCUCCUCCAAUUCCUUCCCCUCCUUCUGUGACUUCAUUUCCUGCCUUUAUUCCUGUCACAUGCUCUGCUCUGUCCCAUUGACAGGACACAUUUCUAGGUACAUCCUGCCCCAGGGCCUUUGCACUUACCCUUGGCCUCAGUGCUCCUUCCCCAGAAAGCCAUAUGGCUUUCUCCCAAGUUCCUUUUGGUCUCUGUGCAAAACUGACCUUCUCAGUGAAUUCUACCCUGAUCCCUCCUUUAAAAUUACAAAACAGGGAGGAACUUUAUCCUGUUUUAUUUUUCUCCAUAGCACUUAUCAUUGGCUGCAUUCACUUCUCUGUAAGAUAUUUUUGUUUUGUUUUGUUUUCAUUUUUAUUGAGACUGAGUCUCACUUUGCCACCCAGGCUGGAGUGCAGUGGCGCGAUCUCGGUUCACUGCAACCUCCGCCUCCCAGGUUCAAGUGAUUCUCCUGCCUCAGCCUCCCCAGUAGCUGGAUUACAGGUGUGUGCCACCACACCUGGCUAAUUUUUGUAUUUUUAGUAGAGACAGGGUUUCACCAUGUUGGCCAGGCUGGUCUUGAAUUCAUGACCUCAAGUGAUCCGCCCACCUUGGCCUCCCAAAGUGCUGGGAUUACAGGCAUGAGCCACUGCACCCGGCCCACUGUAAAAUAUUUUAAUCCCCUGGACUGUCAGCUCCAAGAGGGCAAGGGUUUUUCCCUGUCUUGUUCCCUGUGGCAUCCCCAGCACCUAGCACACAGUAAAUAUCCAGCAAAUUUUUGCUGAAUGAAUGGAAAACCUGUUUGCCUAUCUUGACCCGGGCCUGGGGAAAUAAGUGGAAGGGUCCACCCUAGGCCCUAAGCACUUGGCCAGGAAAGCUGCAGGAGAGGAGUGCAUGGCAUCCGAGAGCCAUCAAACAGUAAAUAAGAAAGACUUUCUUUUUCUCCAUAUUAUGAUUCCACCAGUUGCUGUGAACAUAUGCUAUUUUUAUAACUUUUGAACACACAUUAAAUAAAACAAAAAAGCAAAGAUGUAAGUCAGACUCAGAGGAGCAGUGUGGAGGGGAGGGGAGACAACGCAAAGAGAGAGGGACCCAGGCCACGCCAAACAACCGCCUGGCUCUCUCCUCCCUCAGAAGAACCCAUCCCUGCCCCGCAUCCAGUGCAGCAAGCGUCCUGGGAAGGUCAGGCUGUGGCUCAUGAAAGACACUACAGAGUAGAUGCUAACCCAAAUCCGAACACUCCCAGACUCUCCCUCCCACCCAGCUCAGCUGGUACUAGAGGCAGACAACGAAAAGCUGGCAGAACAAGACAAAUGGUGGAGAAAGUAAGGUCUGAAGAAGGUGGGGUGGGUAGAAAGCAGCAAAAAGGAAUGAGGGUUGGUCCAGGGGGCCAGGCCCCAGCUCAGCCUCCUAGUCACUGAGUCAGCUUGGGCAAGGGUGCUCUAACCUCUGAGCCUCUGGUUCUUCCUCCCUAAAAGUCAAAAUAAAGGUAUCUGCCUUGCCCCAGUGGGCUGGAUGUAUACGAUACUGCUUUAUCAUGCUGUACAAAUAUCAUUAGAAAGAGAAUCAGCAGCGUGGAUGCCUCACUGGAUAAUGCAAAACCCCGCCCCACACGGAGCCUUGGUUUCCUCUAUUGUGUUUUCCAAUUAUUUGCUGUUGGUCUAUCAAAAAUGCAUUUAAUAUGCAUUUUAAUAUCUGACCUUUGGCCACCUGGCUCAACUCUGUUGCUUCUAAUAAUUUAUACAUUCGGAGUCUACGAUUUCCUCCAGCCAGAUGAUGGCUGCACCAGAAAAUAAUGAUGCCUUCAUCUCUUCCUUUCCAAGACUUAUGUCUCUAUUGGUUUUCUCUUGUGGUAUUGCGCUGGCUCUGACCUAGGGUGCAAGGUUGAAUAAGAGAGGUGAUAGUGGGCGUUCUUGUCUUCUUUUUAACCUGAAGGGAUUGCAUCUCAUGUCUAUCUAUCAGGAAUAAGGUUUGCUAGAGAUUUCAGUAGCUAUCUGUCUUCAGAUUAAGUAAGUUCCCACUGCGCAGAGUUGACGAUGUGUGAUCAUGAAGCACCUACUGGAUCAUAUUGAAUGUCAUUUCAGCAAUUAGAGAGAUCAUUACAUGAUUGUUCUCCUUUGUUUUAAUAGAGGUCUGCAAAACAAGGGGAUGCCUCUACCCAAUACUGCCUUUCAGGGUCAGGAGGAACAAGGCCUGGGACCCGGAAGAUAAUGACACCACU
rnacentral:lncRNA from 1 species